AUGAAGGUUGGAUCAAUGCCAAGGCUCUCGCACCUGACACUUUGGAGAUGCGGGCUGAUAAAUAAGCUUCCUGAGGGGUUGCUGCAUCUUCGGUCCAUCCUCGGUGAUCGAGAAUUGUUCAGUAUGCCUCAGAUUACCGAAGAUGACAACACACUGUAUGAGCUGCAAAUUAGGGUUGCAAGGUCUUUUGUGCGCACAUUUUGCACAGGUGAAAUGAUCAAACGAUCACCAUGCAUGAUACUACAAGAUCUUCGAUUACGGAGGCAUAUUCAUUUCCUAAUUCCAAAGGCAUUCAUUAAUUCGUGCUAUGCACGCUGUGACCAAGUGCACCAAGAAGAAUAUUUAUGUCUGUUUAUCAGUCCAUGCUAUAGGUCUGCCUCAAAUAUGUCUAUUUGUUUGCUUGAAUGUAAUCCUUAA
rnacentral:rRNA from 1 species